GCGGGGGGAGAUUGUCACAUUAGAGGAGACUGGAGAUUUAAUGAACACCAGAGAGAGGUCAGACUCUCACUCUGACAGCGGGAAGAGUCCUUCAAGGGAACCAGACCCAGAGACGCCCAAACCAGCGGGACGACACCACACCUCCCAUUGUGGAAAGAGUUGUAAGAGGUUAUGGACACUAAAAGAGCAUGGGAGAACACACAUAGGAGAAAAGCCUAACCACCGCUCAGACUUUGGGAAGAGGUUUUGCCAGAUAGACAGCCUGAAACGACAUAAGAGAACACACACAGGAGAAAAUCCUCACCACUGCUUCCAGUGUGGCAAAGGGUUUUACCCGUUUAUGUUACCUGAAAAUACAUGAGCGAAUACACUCUGGAGUGAAGCCUCAUCACUGUUCCCAAUGUGGACAGAGUUUUACCCAUUCAGGAGCCUGAAAAAACGAGAAAACACACUCAGCAGAGAAGACCUACCACUGCUACCUACACUCCCAGUGUAGAAAAAUAUUUAUCAGUUUAUGGCACCUGAGAAUGCAUGAGAGGGCACACACAGGAGGGGAUAAGGCCUACCACUGCUCCCAGUGUGAAAAGAGUUUUACCCAGUUAGGGAACCUGAGGACGCAUGAGAGGGCACACACAGGAGAGAAGCUUUAUCAUUCUUCCCACUGUGGAAAGAGUUUUACCCGGUGGGGGAGCCUGAAAAAGCAUGAGUGGAUACACAUACGUGAAAAGCCCUACCAGUGCUCCUUGUGUGGAAAGAGUUUUACCCAGUUAGGAAACCUGAACCAGCAUGAGAGGACACACACAGGAGGGGAUAAGACCUACCACUGCUCUCAGUGUGGAAAGAGUUUUACCCGGUUAAGGCAGCUGAAUAAGCAUGAAAGAAUACACACACAGGAGGAGAAGACAUACCACUGCUCUCAGUGUGGAAAGACAUUUUCCCAGUCAGAGGACCUGAAAUCACAUGAGAGAAUAGAGAGGCUGUGUUCUGACUUAUGUUUUUGAUUGAGAAUGUGUUUUUGUUUAUGCCACACAAAACCAAAUGGUAUGUAUGAAAGCUUUCGAAAAAAAGAAUAGGUCUACUUUUUAUUUUUUUAUCGAGACCAUGAUCAUAUAUAAAAAAUCUGAUAUUAACAUUUUGUUUUGAUUAGGAACUUUGAUUGACUGGAUAGUAUCAAUCCUUAGAUGUUCAUUUUAUGAUUUUGGGAUAUUUCAAAAUGUAAAUAAUUAAGUAGAUUUAUUGGAAGUUGAAUUUCUUUGUUUUAACCUUAAUCUCUGGAAUGUAGUUGUUUCAUUUCAUUCAUUUGUGUACGAUUCAUCAAGCUAAAAGUUGUAUGAAAAUGUAAUGACGUAGUUCUGAUGACAUUAAGUUGUUGACAUGAAAAACAUUCAUUACCUCGUGAAUAUUCCCAUCAGUAUUAUUCCACCAUGUCAGAGAAAACUCAGGUGUUGAUUGUAAAAAGGAUUUGAUUAAAUGCAAAAUAUUGUGUUUGAA